UCAAGGAUGCAACACCUGCUUUAUUUCCAAUAGUUGCCAUCAUCCCUUUGCUCUGAUAUGAAAAUUCUUUUAAA
rnacentral:tRNA from 2 species